UUGAAGAGUUUGAUCAUGGCUCAGAUUGAACGCUGGCGGCAGGCCUAACACAUGCAAGUCGAGCGGUAACACAGAGAGCUUGCUCUCGGGUGACGAGCGGCGGACGGGUGAGUAAUGUCUGGGAAGCUGCCUGAUGGAGGGGGAUAACUACUGGAAACGGUAGCUAAUACCGCAUAACGUCGCAAGACCAAAGAGGGGGACCUUCGGGCCUCUUGCCAUCAGAUGUGCCCAGAUGGGAUUAGCUAGUAGGUGGGGUAACGGCUCACCUAGGCGACGAUCCCUAGCUGGUCUGAGAGGAUGACCAGCCACACUGGAACUGAGACACGGUCCAGACUCCUACGGGAGGCAGCAGUGGGGAAUAUUGCACAAUGGGCGCAAGCCUGAUGCAGCCAUGCCGCGUGUAUGAAGAAGGCCUUCGGGUUGUAAAGUACUUUCAGCGGGGAGGAAGGUGUUGAGGUUAAUAACCUCAGCAAUUGACGUUACCCGCAGAAGAAGCACCGGCUAACUCCGUGCCAGCAGCCGCGGUAAUACGGAGGGUGCAAGCGUUAAUCGGAAUUACUGGGCGUAAAGCGCACGCAGGCGGUCUGUCAAGUCGGAUGUGAAAUCCCCGGGCUCAACCUGGGAACUGCAUUCGAAACUGGCAGGCUAGAGUCUUGUAGAGGGGGGUAGAAUUCCAGGUGUAGCGGUGAAAUGCGUAGAGAUCUGGAGGAAUACCGGUGGCGAAGGCGGCCCCCUGGACAAAGACUGACGCUCAGGUGCGAAAGCGUGGGGAGCAAACAGGAUUAGAUACCCUGGUAGUCCACGCCGUAAACGAUGUCGACUUGGAGGUUGUGCCCUUGAGGCGUGGCUUCCGGAGCUAACGCGUUAAGUCGACCGCCUGGGGAGUACGGCCGCAAGGUUAAAACUCAAAUGAAUUGACGGGGGCCCGCACAAGCGGUGGAGCAUGUGGUUUAAUUCGAUGCAACGCGAAGAACCUUACCUACUCUUGACAUCCAGAGAACUUUCCAGAGAUGGAUUGGUGCCUUCGGGAACUCUGAGACAGGUGCUGCAUGGCUGUCGUCAGCUCGUGUUGUGAAAUGUUGGGUUAAGUCCCGCAACGAGCGCAACCCUUAUCCUUUGUUGCCAGCGGUUAGGCCGGGAACUCAAAGGAGACUGCCAGUGAUAAACUGGAGGAAGGUGGGGAUGACGUCAAGUCAUCAUGGCCCUUACGAGUAGGGCUACACACGUGCUACAAUGGCGCAUACAAAGAGAAGCGACCUCGCGAGAGCAAGCGGACCUCAUAAAGUGCGUCGUAGUCCGGAUUGGAGUCUGCAACUCGACUCCAUGAAGUCGGAAUCGCUAGUAAUCGUAGAUCAGAAUGCUACGGUGAAUACGUUCCCGGGCCUUGUACACACCGCCCGUCACACCAUGGGAGUGGGUUGCAAAAGAAGUAGGUAGCUUAACCUUCGGGAGGGCGCUUACCACUUUGUGAUUCAUGACUGGGGUGAAGUCGUAACAAGGUAACCGUAGGGGAACCUGCGGUUGGAUCACCUCCUU
rnacentral:rRNA from 1 species